rnacentral:pre_miRNA from 1 species
ACAACGUUCGGGCCGUUGGUCUACCGAGCGAUUUCACCCAAUCGCUAGAAUAUCUUCCCUUUGUCGU